GAGUGGAGGAGGGAAUUUGAAGGGGCUAAUUUGGGCAAGGAGUUGCCGACUCCGAAGGAGAUAUCUAGAGGGCUUGAUGACUUUGUUGUUGGACAAGAGAGAGCUAAAAAGGUGCUAUCUGUUGCUGUUUACAACCACUACAAAAGAAUCUAUCAUGCUUCCUUGCACGGAGAGUCAGGUGCGGAAUACAGGAGUACCGAUGGUAAGAUUGGAGAUUUUGAUGCUGAUGAUGUGGAGCUGGAGAAGACCAAA